rnacentral:misc_RNA from 1 species
AACUGAUACUACCUGCGGGAACCUGCGGAAGGAUCAUUACCGAGUUAUCAACUCCCAAACCCCUGUGAACAUACCCGAACGUUGCCUCGGCGGGACCGCCCCGGCGCCCCUAGCGGCCCGGAACCAGGCGCCCGCCGGAGGACCCAAACUCUUGCUUUAAACAGUGGCAUACUCUCUGAGUCUCACAAACAGAAAAUAAAUCAAAACUUUCAACAAUGGAUCUCUAGAUCGGAAGAGCAC